rnacentral:lncRNA from 1 species
AUGCAACCCCCCCAACAUAUACACAUGUGCACACACACUCCCACAACAUACAUACAUGCACCCCACACAACAUAUACACAUGCACACAUACUCCCACAACACACACAAGCACACACACCCCUACAACAUACACACGCAUGCACACACACACACCCUCACAACACACACACAGGCCCACACACCCCUGCAACAUACACGUAUAUGCACACACACCUCCAAAACAUAUGCAAACAUGCAACCCCCACAACAUACACAUGUGCACCCCAACAUACACACAUGUGCACACACACCCCCACAACAUACACACACACACACACACCCUCACAACAUACACAUAUGUGCACACACACUUCCACAACAUAUGCAAACAUGCACACCCCCACAAGAUACACAAGUGCACCCUCAACAUAUACACAUGUGCACACACACCCCCACAACAUACACACAUGCACACACACCUCCACAACACACACACACACACACACACCCUCACAACAUACACAUAUGUGCACACACACUCCCACAACAUAUACAUACAUGUACACCCCCACAACAUAUGGACAUACACACACACCCCACAACAUAUACACACCUGCACACACACCCCCACAGCAUACACAUGCACACACACCCUCACAGCAUAUACACAUGUGCACACACACCCCCAGAACAUAUGCACACAUGCACACACCCCCAAACAUAUAUACAUGUUCACACACACACACCCACAGCAUGCACAAAUGCACACACCCCCUCACAUUUACACACAUGCACACACCCCCUACAUUACACAUGUGCACCCCCCAAGAUACACACACAUGCACACCCCCACAACAUAUACACACAUGCACACACACACCCACAACAUAUACACACGCACACACACCUCUACGCUGCUCUCCCAAGGGCAUCACUGCUGCCUGGCAGAGUCCCCUGAGCUCCCCCCAGGCAGGCCCUCACAGCUCUGUGCCUCUCACACCCAGGGCUUCACCCACAGCAUGA